GACGCGGGGGAGCAGGCCGGGCGCGCAUUACCUUCCGCCGGACCCUCGUAGAAGUGGCCGCUGUUGGGCGCCAGGCCGGGCCCAAGGUCCUGCAGGAGGACCUGCUUUGCAGGCAUUUGCUGGCACCAGGAUGUAGCAAAGAGUGAGACAGAUGUGAGCCCUGCCUUCAUUGAUGCACAUUUUGCUGGAAUGGAAGUGUCACCUUCAUGAUGAAAGAAGAAAAAAAAAAUCGGGUGUUUGGAUGUGAAUUGGAAUGAAAUCUGGUGUUGAGAGCAGCAUUCCUGGCUUCUAGCUAUAAGGGUUAUUGCUGGGACUCAGAGCCUGCAUCAUGAGCACACCACCUCCAGUGGAAACUUUCCCCCAUUGUUUAUCAUUCUUUUUUACUUUAUUAAAAAAUAUUUAUUUAUUCCCUUUUG